rnacentral:rRNA from 1 species
GACGAACGCUGGCGGCGUGCUUAACACAUGCAAGUCGAACGGAAAGGCCCUGCUCUUGUGGGGUGCUCGAGUGGCGAACGGGUGAGUAACACGUGAGUAACAUGCCCUUGACUUUGGGAUAACUUCUGGAAACUCGGGCUCAUACCGGAUAGGAGCUCCUGCUGCGUGGUGGGGGUUGGAAAGAUCCGGCGGUUGGGGAUGGUCUCGAGGCUUAUCAGCUUGUUGGUGAGGUAGUGGCUUACCAAGGUUUUGACGGGUAGCCGGCCUGAGAGGGUGACCGGCGACAAUGGGCCUGAGAUACGGCCCAGACGGCUACGGGACGCAGCAGUGGAGAGUAUUGCACAAUGGGCGGAAGCGUGAUGCAGCAACGCCGCGUGCGGGAUGACGUCCUUCGGGUUAUGAACCGCUGUGUCCGGUGACGAACAGUGAGUGACGGUAAUUGGUAAAAAAGCACCGGCUAACUAUGUG